UACGUAGGGGGCAAGCGUUGUUCGGAAUUACUGGGCGUAAAGCGCGUGUAGGCGGUCCGAUAAGUCGGAAGUGAAAUCCCUCGGCUCAACCGGGGAACUGCUUUCGAUACUGUCGGACUUGAGUGUGGGAGGGGAGAGCAGAAUUCCCGGUGUAGCGGUGAAAUGCGUAGAUAUCGGGAGGAAUACCGGUGGCGAAGGCGGCUCUCUGGACCACUACUGACGCUGAGACGCGAAAGCGUGGGGAU
rnacentral:rRNA from 1 species